UACAGAGGCCUCGAGCGUUAGGCGGAAUCACUGGGCUUAAAGCGUGUGUAGGCGGGCGGGCAAGUACCUUGUGAAAUCCCACGGCUCAACCGUGGAACGGCUGGGUAUACUGCCUGUCUUGAGCCAACUAGGGGCGAGCGGAACAGACGGUGGAGCGGUGAAAUGCGUAGAUAUCGUCUGGAACGCCAAAGGUGAAAACAGCUCGCUGGGGUUGUGCUGACGCUGAG
rnacentral:rRNA from 1 species